AAAUUGAAGAGUUUGAUCAUGGCUCAGAUUGAACGCUGGCGGCAGGCCUAACACAUGCAAGUCGAGCGGAAACGAGUUAUCAGAACCUUCGGGGGACGAU
rnacentral:rRNA from 1 species